rnacentral:rRNA from 1 species
UACGGAGGUGGCAAGCGUUGUUCGGAAUUACUGGGCGUAAAGGGCGCGUAGGCGGCAAGGCAAGUCAGGUGUGAAAGCCCCGGGCUUAACUCGGGAAUUGCAUCUGAAACUGCUGUGCUUGAGUUCUGGAGGGGGUAGUGGAAUUCCCAGUGUAGCGGUGAAAUGCGUAGAUAUUGGGAGGAACACCUGCGGCGAAGGCGGCUUCCUGGCCCGACACUGACGCUCAUGUACGAAAGCGUGGGGAGCAAACAGG